UACGAAGGGGGGCUAGCGUUGCUCGGAAUCACUGGGCGUAAAGCGCACGUAGGCGGCUUGUUAAGUCAGGGGUGAAAUCCUGGAGCUCAACUCCAGAACUGCCUUUGAUAUGGCAAGCUUGGAGUCCGGGAGAGGUGAGUGGAACUGCGAGUGUAGAGGUGAAAUUCGUAGAUAUUAGGAAGAACACCAGUGGCGAAGGCGGCUCAUCGCGGUCC
rnacentral:rRNA from 1 species